CACGUAGGGGCCAAGCGUUGUCCGGAUUCAUUGGGCGUAAAGAGCUCGUAGGCGGUUCAGUUAGUCGGGUGUGAAAUCUCCGGGCUCAACCCGGAGGGGCCACCCGAUACUGCUGUGACUUGAGUCCGGUAGGGGAGUGGGGAAUUCCUGGUGUAGCGGUGAAAUGCGCAGAUAUCAGGAGGAACACCGGUGGCGAAGGCGCCACUCUGGGCCGGUACUGACGCUGAGGUGCGAAAGCGUGGGGAGCAAACAGG
rnacentral:rRNA from 1 species